rnacentral:rRNA from 1 species
AUUGAACGCUGGCGGCAUGCCUUACACAUGCAAGUCGAACGGUAACGGGCCUUCGGUUGCCGACGAGUGGCGAACGGGUGCGUAAUACUUCGGAACGUGCCCGAUCGCGGGGGGAAACGGGUCGCAAGCGUUGCUAAUACCGCAUACGAUCUACGAAUGAAAGCAGGGGACCGCAAUGGCUUGCGCGGACGGAGCGGCCGCUGGCAGAUUAGGUAGCUGGUGGGUUAAAAGCUUACCAAGCCGACGAUAAGUAGCUGAACUGAGAGGAUGAUCAGCCACACUGGGACUGAGACACGGCCCAGACUCCUACGGGAGGCAGCAGUGGGGAAUUUUGGGCAAUGGGCGAAAGCCUGAUCCAGCAAUGCCGCGUGCAGGAUGAAGGCCUUCGGGUUGUAAACUGCUGUUGUACGGAACGAAAAACCUUCUUUUUAUACAGGAGGGUCAUGACGGUACCGUAAGAAUAAGCACCGGCUAACUACGUG